rnacentral:lncRNA from 1 species
UCAUCUCAAAACGCUCUUCCAUCAUUUCUUGUAUCUGGCUAGGUGGGUAUGCAUUUAUUUUAUCCUUGGAAAAUUUUUGCUUGCUUUCUUUUAUCAUAUAUCCUUGGUUUCCUCCAUUAAUCAUUAGUAAAAUUCCAUGUGUGGAUUCUUUGUCUCUUGCGGAGAACUGGGUUUAUAGAAGCUUUUCUUAGAAAUCAUCAUUGCUGGCAGAAGCAACUAGCUAGGGAAUUUACCCAUGGAUGAUGCCUCGAUCAGGCUCAGAGAAAGGGCACUUUGGUCAUACACUCGAUCAAUUGCCAAGAAUCAUUUUGCUGAGAAGUUGUUCGGCAAAUAAUUUAUGCUUUAUAUAUGCUUUAAUUAUUAAAAUAAUAAGUAACUUUUUAUCUUAAUUAUAUAACUAUAUCUAAUUAACAAAUGAGACAAAACCCCAUCAAGGCUUAAUUUAUGGGAUUUAUUAUUGGAC